rnacentral:rRNA from 1 species
GAUGAACGCUGGCGGCGUGCCUAAUACAUGCAAGUCGAGCGAACGGACGAGAAGCUUGCUUCUCUGAUGUUAGCGGCGGACGGGUGAGUAACACGUGGAUAACCUACCUAUAAGACUGGGAUAACUUCGGGAAACCGGAGCUAAUACCGGAUAAUAUUUUGAACCGCAUGGUUCAAAAGUGAAAGACGGUCUUGCUGUCACUUAUAGAUGGAUCCGCGCUGCAUUAGCUAGUUGGUAAGGUAACGGCUUACCAAGGCAACGAUGCAUAGCCGACCUGAGAGGGUGAUCGGCCACACUGGAACUGAGACACGGUCCAGACUCCUACGGGAGGCAGCAGUAGGGAAUCUUCCGCAAUGGGCGAAAGCCUGACGGAGCAACGCCGCGUGAGUGAUGAAGGUCUUCGGAUCGUAAAACUCUGUUAUUAGGGAAGAACAUAUGUGUAAGUAACUGUGCACAUCUUGACGGUACCUAAUCAGAAAGCCACGGCUAACUACGUGCCAGCAGCCGCGGUAAUACGUAGGUGGCAAGCGUUAUCCGGAAUUAUUGGGCGUAAAGCGCGCGUAGGCGGUUUUUUAAGUCUGAUGUGAAAGCCCACGGCUCAACCGUGGAGGGUCAUUGGAAACUGGAAAACUUGAGUGCAGAAGAGGAAAGUGGAAUUCCAUGUGUAGCGGUGAAAUGCGCAGAGAUAUGGAGGAACACCAGUGGCGAAGGCGACUUUCUGGUCUGUAACUGACGCUGAUGUGCGGAAGCGUGGGGAUCAAACAGGAUUAGAUACCCUGGUAGUCCACGCCGUAAACGAUGAGUGCUAAGUGUUAGGGGGUUUCCGCCCCUUAGUGCUGCAGCUAACGCAUUAAGCACUCCGCCUGGGGAGUACGACCGCAAGGUUGAAACUCAAAGGAAUUGACGGGGACCCGCACAAGCGGUGGAGCAUGUGGUUUAAUUCGAAGCAACGCGAAGAACCUUACCAAAUCUUGACAUCCUUUGACAACUCUAGAGAUAGAGCUUUCCCCUUCGGGGGACAAAGUGACAGGUGGUGCAUGGUUGUCGUCAGCUCGUGUCGUGAGAUGUUGGGUUAAGUCCCGCAACGAGCGCAACCCUUAAGCUUAGUUGCCAUCAUUAAGUUGGGCACUCUAAGUUGACUGCCGGUGACAAACCGGAGGAAGGUGGGGAUGACGUCAAAUCAUCAUGCCCCUUAUGAUUUGGGCUACACACGUGCUACAAUGGACAAUACAAAGGGCAGCGAAACCGCGAGGUCAAGCAAAUCCCAUAAAGUUGUUCUCAGUUCGGAUUGUAGUCUGCAACUCGACUACAUGAAGCUGGAAUCGCUAGUAAUCGUAGAUCAGCAUGCUACGGUGAAUACGUUCCCGGGUCU